UUGGGCAGAGGAAAGGUUCAUUUUUUUAGGGUAGUACCUCGGGAACCGAUCCAGUGGAGAUGGAGUAGAGCCUGUAAUUCAGAGGAUUAGAAUACGUGGCUACGAAUCAUGGUGUCGGGGGUUCGAAUCCCUCCUCACUCACAACCGGCUAAAAAUGGUGUGUUUAUGAUCCGACCAGUAUUGAAAUGUUCAAGUGGUGUAAAACACAAUCUAAAGUUCAUGUUUCUUAGGGAUUAUCGUUAGAUCUGAUUUUUAAAAUAAACAAAGUUUUUCCUUUUAAAAUUAUGAUCUUCGCCUUGAUUAAUAUAUCCAGACAUGCUGCAAGCAAGAUGAAGCUGAAGAGAAAAGGUGAUGUCUGAAGUUAAACCAGCUUCGCAAACGCAGCCAGCAGCUUAUUUCGAGGAGCUACGAACUGGUGUCUAGGGGCUUUGAUAGACUCAUGGAUGCUGAUGAGAGUUUCUCCAACCCAAUGGCGGAUAGCUUUUGAACUUCAUCACUUGAUGUUUGCGCCAGCAGACACUCGACGAGCAAAGGUAACAUCUCAAAAUCGAAGAUCCGUUCUAUGUUGAACUGCUUUCCUUUGCUGAUGCUUGACAGGUCUUCGAUUGCCUCGAGCACCAUUGCAUCUGAACUGGCUAGGGACAGAGCGGCUCGGGCGACUUUGAUUGUUGCUAUCUCAUUACGUUCCUUCCAUUUGUCUAUUGUAGACUUCAGAGCUCUGUUUGAAUUAACAGCUUUGGACACAAGCUUUUGCCCUGUGACUGGGCAGAAAACUUCCUCAGAUUCUUCAAACUCUUCAAACCACUCGACGAUUGCUUUUCUUUCGUAUGUCACUCCCGUUUCAAGGCUAACCGGAUCAUCCAUGAUGUCUUUCGUCAAAGGACAGAUGAAGGUCUCAAAAAG